rnacentral:rRNA from 1 species
UUUGAGAGUUUGAUCCUGGCUCAGG